UACAGAGGGGGCAAGCGUUAUUCGGAAUUAUUGGGCGUAAAGGGCGCGUAGGCGGCUUUGCAAGUGGCGGGUGAAAAUCCCCUCGGCUUAACCGAGGAACUGCCUGUCAAAACUGCAUGGCUUGAGACCAGGAGAGGUGAGUGGAAUUCCCCAGUGUAGCGGUGAAAAUGCGUAGAUAUUGGGGAGGAACACCAGUGGCGAAGGCGGCUCACU
rnacentral:rRNA from 1 species